GACGAACGCUGGCGGCGUGCCUAAUACAUGCAAGUUGAGCGCUGAAGGUUGGUACUUGUACCAACUGGAUGAGCAGCGAACGGGUGAGUAACGCGUGGGGAAUCUGCCUUUGAGCGGGGGACAACAUUUGGAAACGAAUGCUAAUACCGCAUAAAAACUUUAAACACAAGUUUUAAGUUUGAAAGAUGCAAUUGCAUCACUCAAAGAUGAUCCCGCGUUGUAUUAGCUAGUUGGUGCGGUAAAGGCUCACCAAGGCGAUGAUACAUAGCCGACCUGAGAGGGUGAUCGGCCACAUUGGGACUGAGACACGGCCCAAACUCCUACGGGAGGCAGCAGUAGGGAAUCUUCGGCAAUGGACGAAAGUCUGACCGAGCAACGCCGCGUGAGUGAAGAAGGUUUUCGGAUCGUAAAACUCUGUUGGUAGAGAAGAACGUUGGUGAGAGUGGAAAGCUCAUCAAGUGACGGUAACUACCCAGAAAGGGACGGCUAACUACGUG
rnacentral:rRNA from 1 species